ACCCCUUGGCAAUGGGCAAGGAGACACAUGAUUGGUGAUGCUUCUCUUCUAUCAGUCAGGGGCAAAGCAGACUACAGUCUUUGUUCAUCCUAGCUUGAUGCCUGUAUUUGUGACCAGAGCUGUUUCAUGCCUGGGGCACAUAA
rfam:Myotis davidii contig104579, whole genome shotgun sequence.